GAGAAGAAGUCAUGGAAAAGAAAAACCAAGGUGUAUAAAAUUAUUCGCAAAUCUUUCUGAAAUCUCUACUUAUAAAUGAGCCAUCAUAUGAAGGGGCUCUUGGGAUGCGUUCAGCAGAGUACACCACUUGAAGGCAGAAGCUAUUCCAUCAUACACAGUCAUUCAUCUGUUGCUCAUACAGUAAUUUAUGUCAGCAUAUUUAAUUAAGCCAUUUUUCACUAGAGUUCUCUUCAUAUUCUAUAGUAGAUACUUACCAAGCAUUUGUUGAUUGCUUAGUUGGUUCAUUGAAUGGAUGGAUGGAUGCUUAGAGAAAUUAGAAAUAAAAAUGCAAAUGUAAAUGUGUUAUUCACUGAAGUAGAAAGAGAAAAAGGCUUGCCAACUCAAGUACUGUCAAAAUUUGAUAACAGAAAAUGACAGUAGUAAAUGCCAGACUUCGUAUGCCAUUUACUUGCCAUUUCUAAAAAUUCAUAAAACUCUCAUCUUUCCAUUUCUGUACUAUGGCAGGUAGAAUAGCAAUGUCCCAAAGAUGUCCAUAUCUGAAUUUCCUGAAUCUGUGAGUAUGUCACUUCACAUGGCAAAGGGGAAUUGAAGAACAGGUGGAAUAAAGGCUGCUAAUUAGCUGAUCUUAAAAUAGGAAGAUUGUCCAGGUGGGCCCAAUCCAAUCACAAGGGCUUGGCAGGUAUUGAAAAGGAGGGCAAAAAAAAGAGUGCUGGAGCGAUAUGUGAGACAUACUGGACCAGCCAUCGCUAGCUUUGGAAGCAGAAAAGGCCACAAGUCAAGGAAUACCAGCAGCCUCUAGAAGCUGGAAAAGGUAAAAACUGCAUUCUCUCUAAGAUCUUCCAGAAAGGAACACAACCCUGCCAACUCCACUGAGAUUCAUUGUGGACUUCUGACCUCUACAACUGUCAGGAAACUGAAACGUCAGCUCCUGGGAUCCCCCACAUGGACCCACCAUGAAGGAUGCCCAUCUGUAACUUGCUCACCCUCUUUAAGUGUUGGGAAGAAAGAAAAUGCAUUCCUUGACCUCUACAGUGAGGAAGGCAGCCAAUUCCUCAGAAAAGAUCUGAGGUAAACUCAUGAGGAACUGAUGCAGGUUAUCAAAGCCUCCUUUCCUUCAGAGUCAGAAUUAGAUAAUAACACUUCACAGCAUGUUAUUAAUGAGCCAGACAUAAUUAAUUGCCACUAGAAAAAAUAUGUCAAAAGAAUUUGCAGCAUAUAUAAAUUAUCUCUGGCCUUUCACCUGCCCAUGGUCCUGCUUCUUGUCACUGACAUGGCUUCUGGGAGAUGACAACAAACUUGUCAGAAACGCUACAUGAAGGGAUUAAAGGAGGAAGAAGACCUGUGAUUUUUAGUUUCAGAAAAACUAUACCAUUUGCUAGAACUACAAAAAUAAAAGUCUACUUGUGUAUGGUAAGCUGAAUGAGAUAUAUAUACAAAAUGCAAAUGAAUUUCCACUCUAUUUUGCAGGAAAUGAUGUGAAUUCACUGGCUAAAGUGGCAGUCAUCUAAUGCUUGUUAUUUCAAUAAAAUUAGAUAUUAAAUUUUGCUUUAAAAUUGAAGAAAAAUACCCAUGAUUUUGCCAGCAGCUUCUCUAAUGUUUUUUUAAUUCAUAUUUAGAUGAAACAAAUUCAUAUCAUGCAGGAAACUUUUAAAAUCCUCAAAUAUAAAUUUUGUCUGAGUGAAGGAAAGGCUUAAUUUUUAUUAAUUUAACUAUGCCAUUCUGUGAAAAAUUAGGAUGGUUAAUCAUUCAAUGAAAUAUCUGACCUAUUACUUCAUAUGUUGAAAUACAAGUUCUAUAAUGACUGCCUAUAUAAACAGGUAAGGAGAUACAUGUUUUAAAAUCUGUGGGCCCUAGAUAGUUGUAUGUAUGGGGUAUUCAGUUAAAUAUGCUGAUUUUGACUAAAAUUUUAAAUAUAAGUGAGAAUUCUCUUACAGAAAUUCAACUUAACCAGACUAUAUAAAUGAGAAAAACCAAAAAGGGUAUAGUCCAGAAACACAAGAGGCAAGAAAGGGAAAAUUAGACCAGUUAAUUAGUCUCUAAGGCAGUUUUUCUACCCAAAGACAAAUAUUUGAAUACUCUACUACAUUGCUUCCCCUUGUCAAGUUUCAGAAACAAAAAAUCAUGCAUGUCCUGAUAACUCCUUAGAUGAAUCUCCCUUCGGUGCUUAACAAAGCAAACAGAAGAAAUGAUGCAAAGGGCAAAUAUAUAGGCCAACUUUUACUUGCUACAUUAAUAUAUAACAAGCUACUUGAAAGAUAAUGGUGCAUUUUAUGGAAUAAUCAAUUCAGCAUGGCUAAUGUGUCUUAAUAUUUAAAAUGUAUAUGAAAUUAGCCACUACCUUCUGUUUCCGGAUAAUAUUUAUAUUUGUAAAAGAAGCAAAAUGACUGUCAGUUUGAAUUAUUAGGUAUGAACUCUCCAGAUUAAGAAAUGUUGAUUAGCAGUACAAAUACUCAAAUGGAAAAGAUGAGCAAAAUUCAUAGAAUGAAAACCUAAUUUCAAGAAUAUUAGUAUAAUAUUUAUUAGUAUAAAUGUCUAUCUCAGAGGUGAACAAAUAUUUAGCCUUUUGCUAUCUUGAGAUAUUGCUUAAUCAAAUUAGAAAAAAAUAUGUCUGUCUCCUCUGCGCUGUAAAACA